rfam:Haemonchus contortus, ISE/inbred ISE, WGS project CAVP01000000 data, contig: Hcontortus_6104
GGGCCAUAGAUUUGAAGCAGAGUAGAUUAGUAGGAUCAGCUGACCCUACUAUACUACUCUACCUCAAAUUCGGACCC